rnacentral:rRNA from 1 species
UAGGGAAUCUUCCGCAAUGGACGCAAGUCUGACGGAGCAACGCCGCGUGAGUGAAGAAGGUUUUCGGAUCGUAAAACUCUGUUGUAAGAGAAGAACAAAUUGUAGAGUAACUGCUACAGUCUUGACGGUAUCUUACCAGAAAGCCACGGCUAACUACGUGCCAGCAGCCGCGGUAAUACGUAGGUGGCAAGCGUUGUCCGGAUUUAUUGGGCGUAAAGGGGGCGCAGGCUGCUUCUUAAGUCUGAUGUGAAAGCCCACGGCUUAACCGUGGAAGUGCAUUGGAAGCUGGGAAGCUUGAGUACAGAAGAGGAAUGUGGAACUCCAUGUGUAGCGGUGGAAUGCGUAGAUAUAUGGAAGAACACCAGUGGCGAAAGCGACUUUCUGGUCUGUCACUGUCGCUGAGGAUCGAAAGCGUGGGGAGCGAACAGG